CGGGCUGGCCGGGUGGCCGCCGCGGGGUUUAAACGCCUCGGGGAGGAAAGUCCGGGCUCCUGGCCACCCCCCUGCCUGCGGCCCGCCGCCGGCGGCCCGGGGACGGAAAGUGGCACAGAAACAUACCGCCGCGGCCUUGAGGGUCGCGGCAAGGGUGAAAUCGGGCGGUAAGAGCGCCCGGCCGAGUGCGGCGACGCACCGGCGGCCAAACCCCACCUGGAGCAAGGCCAAAUAGGGGGACUAUGGGAGUCCGGCCCGUCCCCGGGUUGGCCGCUUGACCCCAGCGGCAACGCUGACACGCUUGUUCCGUCAAGAGCAGGCAUGGCGAUGCGGCGACUCGCCGCGCGCAGGGCUAGAUAGAUGGUCACCAUCCGCCUACGGCGGAUACAGAACCCGGCUUACAGGCCGCCCGGCGU
rnacentral:RNase_P_RNA from 1 species